AGAGUUUGAUCCUGGCUCAGGAUGAACGCUGGCGGCGUGCCUAAUACAUGCAAGUCGAACGAAACUUCUUUAUCACCGAGUGCUUGCACUCACCGAUAAAGAGUUGAGUGGCGAACGGGUGAGUAACACGUGGGCAACCUGCCCAAAAGAGGGGGAUAACACUUGGAAACAGGUGCUAAUACCGCAUAACCAUAGUUACCGCAUGGUAACUAUGUAAAAGGUGGCUAUGCUACCGCUUUUGGAUGGGCCCGCGGCGCAUUAGCUAGUUGGUGAGGUAAAGGCUUACCAAGGCAAUGAUGCGUAGCCGAACUGAGAGGUUGAUCGGCCACAUUGGGACUGAGACACGGCCCAGACUCCUACGGGAGGCAGCAGUGGGGAAUAUUGCACAAUGGGGGAAACCCUGAUGCAGCGACGCCGCGUGAAGGAAGAAGUAUCUCGGUAUGUAAACUUCUAUCAGCAGGGAAGAAAAUGACGGUACCUGACUAAGAAGCCCCGGCUAACUACGUGCCAGCAGCCGCGGUAAUACGGAAGGUCCAGGCGUUAUCCGGAUUUAUUGGGUUUAAAGGGAGCGCAGGCGGACUCUUAAGUCAGUUGUGAAAUACGGCGGCUCAACCGUCGGACUGCAGUUGAUACUGGGAGUCUUGAGUGCACACAGGGAUGCUGGAAUUCAUGGUGUAGCGGUGAAAUGCUCAGAUAUCAUGAAGAACUCCGAUCGCGAAGGCAGGUAUCCGGGGUGCAACUGACGCUGAGGCUCGAAAGUGCGGGUAUCAAACAGGAUUAGAUACCCUGGUAGUCCACGCCGUAAACGGUGGAUGCUGGAUGUGGGGCCCGUUCCACGGGUUCCGUGUCGGAGCUAACGCGUUAAGCAUCCCGCCUGGGGAGUACGGCCGCAAGGCUAAAACUCAAAGGAAUUGACGGGGG
rnacentral:rRNA from 1 species